GCCCGCCUGUUGCCUCAGGACUAUGGCCCCAUGGUAAACCUUGUAUUUUCAAUUGCCAUGGAGCUCUGUCUCGUCUUUGGGGGGAUUUACUUUAUGCUGUUAGAGACUGAUUUCCAGUUCCAGUUCGGGAGUUUGGAGUGCUAUUUUGUAUGCAGUUCGGGAGUUUGGUGUUCUGCAGUAGCUGUGCCUGUGUCUUUGGAAGGGAAGAUCUACUAAACGGCUUUUAACCCCUUUUAUGCCGGGUGCCGUUACAAUUGGUGGCAAGCGGCGGAAUCGUUCCCACAGCCAGAAGGACAGCUACAGGAGACACCAUUCCAUGGAUUUUACAAUUUGAGGGCACCGCAUGUCCCAGUACAGCGGCCCUGACAGCACCAGGAUGGAACCAGCAGAGGCAUACAGCUACUCUAUGAAAGAGUUUGACAAUAUGAUGGGAUUGCGGCUAAAGUACUACGGACCCAAUCCACCGGAGAAAUCGGUGCAUCUUAUGAGGAACCUAGUGUUCAAGAAUCUGUAAUACCGAGCAGAAAGGGAAAGUCAGCUGGCACGUUGGGAGGAACUCCAGUGGCAGGUACUGCAGUGAAUUGGGAGCCCAGUCUCCAUUCCCCAGCGGCAGUGUGAUAUGCAGGGAAUUGGGAGCCCAGUCUCCAUUCCCCAGUGGCAGUGUGAUAUGCAGGAAAUUGGGAGCCCAGCCUCCAUUCCCCAGCGGCAGACUGAGUCACAGGGGGCAGAGACAGUUGGUCCUGUCCCCCAGCGGCAGAGUGUCCUACAGGGAACAGAGAGGCCAGCCUCCUUUCCCCAGCAACAGGACACUGUAUUGGGAGUGGAGACAGUCGGUCACCCUCCCCUGCGGCUGGAAGUAUGUAUGGGAAAGGAGCUUGUUACCCCCUCUCCCCAGCGGCAGCUUGACAUACCCAGGGGAGACAGUAAGCCUCACAACCGUGCAGAUGGGACUGUGAUCUCUGCACUUACAGCACAGGCGGUAGGGACGGUCGGUCCUGUAACCCAGCAACAGGGCUGUUUAGCCAAAGGGGAAGCAGUCGGUCUCCCCCCACAGCAGCAUGGUGGCUUGUCCAAAGGGGAGACAAUCGGUCUCCCCCUGCAGCAGCAGAGCUGUGUAUCCAAAGGGGAGACAGUCGGUCUCCCCCUCCCGCAGCAGAGCUGUGUAUCUAAAGGGGAGACAGUCGGUCUACCCCUCCAGCAACCAGGCUCCAACCAGACUAAUCCCGUGGUAGUGCUGGCACCAGGGCAGAGUACCGCUGGUCUCUGCCCACUCAGCAACCCACCAAGUCAGCUUACCAGUCCCCCACACAGCCGUAGUGAGGCACCUGGACAUGGACAAGUUUCUCCUCUACCCAGGUGUAGUAACCAGUUAUUGUGGGUGGGCUGUAUUACUGUUUGUGCUUUGUGGGUGGGCUGCUGGACUAACCAGGGCACUGACCGGCAGGAGGUCAGAUAACCUGUUAGUCUGUCUGGAAAAGGGGAGAGAUGUGACGAGACCAAUCUUGCCACAUUGCAUUGGAGGAGCCUGGUUGCCCGCCUGUUGCCUCUGGACUAUGGCCCCAUGGUAAACCUUGUAUUUUCCCCUGCAGAAAGGCUUGUUCGUGCCUUUCUGCCAGGAUGUUCGGUAGAUUCAAUGUACCGAACAAACGCACAAAUGACUGGACCACCUGGGAGCUGGAGUGUGCCAUCAAUUGACCUCCCAGAAGCUGCGGUUAACCACAGCUUAAUUGAUGAAUGCUGGGUGGCCGUUGUUCGUUUGCAGAACACGUGGCGGCGGCCAUUUUAAAGUCCUGAACAGCCAGCGGUGUUAGCCAUGCCAUGGUGCCUAGUCGUGUAACGAAAGACUAUGUGAAAGACUUUGGCUCCAUGGCGAUUGAACUGUAUGUAUGUGAUUUGAGCGCCAUUCGGUAAUAAUGUGCGCUCAGAUCUAAGCUAUCUGGGGAUAGGUAGAAUGUAUAUGUUUUACUCAUUAUUUGCAACAUUGUGUAUUUUUGUGUCUUUUUACUAACAUGUGCUCAAUGGAGUUUUGCCUCUGUCCUUGGAGAUAAUUGGAUUACUUCCCAAUUAUCUCCAGGAUAGAGGGAAGGGAUUGUAAUGUACUGUGGGAGUGUUUUAACCCUGUAUGCCUGUGAUUGGUCAUUUUACCAUUUGUGUCCCAGUCUUCCAUCUGGUUCCCUAGGGGAGUGUCCACCAGGUGAAAGACCUGCAUAAAUACCGGGCAGGUAGCCCUCAAUAAACCAGACCACUGCUUGACCCUCAACACAGAGCUCUGUCUUGUCUUUGGGGGGAUUUACUUUAUGCUGUUAGAGACUGAUUGCCAGGAGUGUAAGCCGCUUGGGUGCUUUUCCUGUUCGUCUGCUAGCAGCUAUUUGUGAGGUUCCAGUUCGGGAGUUUGGAGUGCUAUUUUGUAUGCAGUUCAGGAGUUUGGAGCAUUCCCUUGUAUCCAGUUCGGGAGUUUGG